rnacentral:lncRNA from 1 species
GUACAGAGGGAAGGAAAACAAAAUGGAUUGGGCUUGCUUGUCACCCUCACAUACUAUCUUGUUUUGGUUCAUUGCUUCAUGUUCUGAUGUUGGGGAUGAGAGAUUUUGGUUUAUGAUUUAUGAUAUGAUAGCAUCUCUCUUUGACUCCCCCUCCCCUUUCCUUCUUUGUAAGACACACAGGCAACCUGGGCUUGCAUCCUGUUGUGAAUCCAUUCAUUUUUUUCUUUUCCGUUUUCCAAUCAUCUUUAUUCAGGCCUGUUCAGCAAUCCAUACUCUUAUUGACUGUAUAAUAUUUUUGAUAUGGUGCAAAUUUAAAUUUUGGAUUUUUUUAAAUUUCUUUGUAC